rnacentral:rRNA from 1 species
AUUGAACGCUGGCGGCAUGCCUUACACAUGCAAGUCGAACGGCAGCGGGCCUUCGGGUGCCGGCGAGUGGCGAACGGGUGAGUAAUGCAUCGGAACGUGCCAUUGAGUGGGGGAUAACGUAGCGAAAGUUACGCUAAUACCGCAUAUUCUGUGAGCAGGAAAGCAGGGGACCGCAAGGCCUUGCGCUCUUUGAGCGGCCAAUGUCAGAUUAGCUAGUUGGUGAGGUAAAGGCUUACCAAGGCGACGAUCUGUAGCGGGUCUGAGAGGAUGAUCCGCCACACUGGAACUGAGACACGGUCCAGACUCCUACGGGAGGCAGCAGUGGGGAAUUUGGACAAUGGGCGCAAGCCUGAUCCAGCCAUGCCGCGUGAGUGAAGAAGGCCUGGUGU